UGCAGAAUCCCGUGAACCAUCGAGUUUUUGAACGCAAGUUGCGCCCGAAGCCUUUUGGUCGAGGGCACGUCUGCCUGGGCGUCACAC
rnacentral:rRNA from 1 species